UGCAGAUUGAGACAACGGGAGUGUCAGUGGAUCCUGUGCACAGAGGCGCUUGGUAUCCUGGGUCUGAACGACAGAAAUGAGCUGACUGUAUUUUUAUGAUUAUUUCACUCGUAUGAUCUAUUGUUUUAACAGACGUUUAUUCUAUACCUUUUUUAUCAUUAUUAUGAGAAGUUUUUGCAUAUUUGAAUUUUUUGGAAUUGGAUCCUCCCUCCGGAUAGCGAUCCUGGAUUUCCUGCUAAAGACUUCCGGGAGCAUCUAGAAAAGAGGCCAGAGGAAGCGGGAAGACCACAAACAAGGCUUGUAGCCAUCACUCCGCUCAGCUACGGCUCUGCGGCUCACAUUCCCUUUCGUGCCGGAGGCCGGCGAUUUUUAAAGAUGAAUCAAUAAAAGCUACAUUUUAUGAGGAAGCGGGAAGACCGUGAAACAAGGCUUGUUGCCUCUUGUCAGCAUAGCCUCGGCUGUGCGCUUUUUUCUCUUUUCCAUGCUAGUUGCCGGUGAAUUGUAAAGGCUUCAUUUCAUGCUCCACAUUCCAUCUCUUUCCUGGGUUUCUUCAUUACCACGUGUGAUUCAGAUCAUAGACUUUAGUGACUAUAUGUAGGUGCUCGGUGGUUUAAACCUAUUACUGGACUUCAUUAUUUCCUGGACCAAUUGUCACCCAGAGAUCCGGAUGUCGCAACAGACAUAUUUCUUUUACAAGGUCAUAAUUCAGAGUCCUGCUCAAUGGUAACAAGCUGCGUUCCGGGAAGUGGCGGGCUGGAGAUCAUCAUAGAGUCACAGAGAGAGAAAUGAGAGAAAUUCCGGCAAAAUUUAGUUUGUUUCUUUUUCAUCUUAUUUUUAUGGUUGUGUUUUUAUGUUUUUCUUACGCAUCGCAUACACCCAGAUCCCCAAACUUUACAUCUAUGGGAGCUUUGAAGGCGUAGCCCGGGCCAUAGCCUGUGCUGCACCCACCGACAAUAUAUACUAUACAGUAUAAGCGCCAUAUUGUAUGUUAUCCACACAUAUAACAGUAUAAAAAUAAAAGGGAUACAGCGUCAAAGUCAAAGAAAAAUUUGUCAUGUGAGUCAUGUGAAGAAGCGACAUCUGAAAUGCGUAAGACAAGCUGACCACGUUCUUCAUAUGGACUUAUUCUAAUCCGGAUAUAAUAAAAACUUACGUUUUAUUUGGAUUCCUCUUUGAUGUCAGCUACUCAUCUUACAAGUCAGUAUUAAUCCGUUUGGUGUAAGCACCACAAGUCCCAGCGAGGCACGUCCCAACUGUAUGUGUAAUACCCUCUGCACCCAGCUCAGUAAAG